CAGGAUUGUUGUUUUUGGUAAUGGCUUGCAUCAGGUACCAUUAGGUACAUAUUUAUGUCUUGAGCCAUACCAAAAACAUGUUGAAUUGUGAGGUCAAGACAUAGGCUGACACAGCUCACUAAAACAAAAGAAAACAGUCUUGCAACAGUAGCACAUAUAAUAAAACCCCUAUUAUCUGACAACCCAUCAGGGACAUGCACUCAAUACAAGUUAAC